GUGGGGAAUAUUGGACAAUGGGCGAAAGCCUGAUCCAGCCAUGCCGCGUGUGUGAAGAAGGUCUUCGGAUUGUAAAGCACUUUAAGUUGGGAGGAAGGGCAGUAAGUUAAUACCUUGCUGUUUUGACGUUACCGACAGAAUAAGCACCGGCUAACUUCGUGCCAGCAGCCGCGGUAAUACGAAGGGUGCAAGCGUUAAUCGGAAUUACUGGGCGUAAAGCGCGCGUAGGUGGUUUUGUAAGUUGGAGGUGAAAUCCCCGUGCUCGACCUGGGAACUGCCUCCAAAACUGCAUGGCUAGAGUACGGUAGAGGGUAGUGGAAUUUCCUGUGUAGCGGUGAAAUGCGUAGAUAUAGGAAGGAACACCAGUGGCGAAGGCGACUACCUGGACUGAUACUGACACUGAGGUGCGAAAGCGUGGGGAGCAAACAGGAUUAGAUACCCUUGUAGUCC
rnacentral:rRNA from 1 species